rnacentral:lncRNA from 1 species
AUGGUUCCUCUGUGUUGGGCUUUAUGCUCUGUGUUAUUAGUCCUAAUGGUUCCUCUGUGUUGGGCUUUAUGCUCUGUGUUAUUAGUCCUAAUGGUUCCUCUGUGUUGGGCUUUAUGCUCUGUGUUAUUAGUCCUAAUGGUUCCUCUGUGUUGGGCUUUAUGCUCUGUGUUAUUAGUCCUAAUGGUUCCUCUGUGUUGGGCUUUAUGCUCUGUGUUAUUAGUCCUAAUGGUUCCUCUGUGUUGGGCUUUAUGCUCUGUGUUAUUAGUCCUAAUGGUUCCUCUGUGUUGGGCUUUAUGCUCUGUGUUAUUAGUCCUAAUGGUUCCUCUGUGUUGGGCUUUAUGCUCUGUGUUAUUAGUCCUAAUGGUUCCUCUGUGUUGGGCUUUAUGCUCUGUGUUAUUAGUCCUAAUGGUUCCUCUGUGUUGGGCUUUAUGCUCUGUGUUAUUAGUCCUAAUGGUUCCUCUGUGUUGGGCUUUAUGCUCUGUGUUAUUAGUCCUAAUGGUUCCUCUGUGUUGGGCUUUAUGCUCUGUGUUAUUAGUCCUAAUGGUUCCUCUGUGUUGGGCUUUAUGCUCUGUGUUAUUAGUCCUAAUGGUUCCUCUGUGUUGGGCUUUAUGCUCUGUGUUAUUAGUCCUAAUGGUUCCUCUGUGUUGGGCUUUAUGCUCUGUGUUAUUAGUCCUAAUGGUUCCUCUGUGUUGGGCUUUAUGCUCUGUGUUAUUAGUCCUAAUGGUUCCUCUGUGUUGGGCUUUAUGCUCUGUGUUAUUAGUCCUAAUGGUUCCUCUGUGUUGGGCUUUAUGCUCUGUGUUAUUAGUCCUAAUGGUUCCUCUGUGUUGGGCUUUAUGCUCUGUGUUAUUAGUCCUAAUGGUUCCUCUGUGUUGGGCUUUAUGCUCUGUGUUAUUAGUCCUAAUGGUUCCUCUGUGUUGGGCUUUAUGCUCUGUGUUAUUAGUCCUAAUGGUUCCUCUGUGUUGGGCUUUAUGCUCUGUGUUAUUAGUCCUAAUGGUUCCUCUGUGUUGGGCUUUAUGCUCUGUGUUAUUAGUCCUAAUGGUUCCUCUGUGUUGGGCUUUAUGCUCUGUGUUAUUAGUCCUAAUGGUUCCUCUGUGUUGGGCUUUAUGCUCUGUGUUAUUAGUCCUAAUGGUUCCUCUGUGUUGGGCUUUAUGCUCUGUGUUAUUAGUCCUAAUGGUUCCUCUGUGUUGGGCUUUAUGCUCUGUGUUAUUAGUCCUAAUGGUUCCUCUGUGUUGGGCUUUAUGCUCUGUGUUAUUAGUCCUAAUGGUUCCUCUGUGUUGGGCUUUAUGCUCUGUGUUAUUAGUCCUAAUGGUUCCUCUGUGUUGGGCUUUAUGCUCUGUGUUAUUAGUCCUAAUGGUUCCUCUGUGUUGGGCUUUAUGCUCUGUGUUAUUAGUCCUAAUGGUUCCUCUGUGUUGGGCUUUAUGCUCUGUGUUAUUAGUCCUAAUGGUUCCUCUGUGUUGGGCUUUAUGCUCUGUGUUAUUAGUCCUAAUGGUUCCUCUGUGUUGGGCUUUAUGCUCUGUGUUAGGUAGUUUGUUAGCUUGUUGUUUUUCACCGAGAGUUGGGCGUGUUUUUCAUCACAGCCCUAAAGAUCUGAAAGACCUCCAUCACUCACAACAUAUCAUUUGGUUCUUUCCCUCCCUCUUUCCCUCUUUUCUCUCAUCCCUCCCUCCCUCCCUCCCUCCC